AUAAUAGGCAAAUCAUGACUUGCUGCCCACUUCUUCGCUCUGCCAAAAGUAUCACAUCCCUCAGUAAUUGUGUGGUACUCUCGACUUGUGCACCUGAUCUUGUGCAAAAUGUGCAGGCUGGCAGCCUCGUUGGUUUGUUUUAGAUAAUGGAAUCUUAUCCUACUAUGAUUCACAAGAUGAUGUUUGCAAAGGGAGCAAAGGAAGCAUAAAGAUGGCAGUUUGUGAAAUUAAAGUUCAUUCAGCAGACAACACAAGAAUGGAAUUAAUCAUUCCUGGAGAGCAGCAUUUCUACAUGAAGGCAGUGAAUGCAGCUGAAAGACAGAGGUGGCUGGUCGCUCUGGGGAGCUCCAAAGCAUGUUUGACUGAUACAAGGACUAAAAAAGAAAAAGAAAUAAGUGAAACCAGUGAAUCGCUGAAAACCAAAAUGUCUGAACUUCGCCUCUACUGUGACCUCUUAAUGCAGCAAGUUCAUACGAUACAGGAAUUUGUUCACCAUGAUGAGAAUCAUUCAUCUCCUAGUGCAGAG
rnacentral:sRNA from 1 species